rnacentral:rRNA from 1 species
CACGUAGGGGGCAAGCGUUGUCCGGAUUUAUUGGGCGUAAAGAGCUCGUAGGCGGCUCAGUAAGUCAGGUGUGAAACCUCCAGGCUCAACCUGGAGACGCCACCUGAUACUGCUGUGGCUAGAGUCCGGAAGAGGCGAGUGGAAUUCCUGGUGUAGCGGUGGAAUGCGCAGAUAUCAGGAGGAACACCGAUAGCGAAGGCAGCUCGCUGGGACGGUACUGACGCUCAGGCGCGAAAGCGUGGGGAGCAAACAGG